rnacentral:rRNA from 1 species
AUUGAACGCUGGCGGCAUGCCUUAUACAUGCAAGUCGAACGGCAGCACGGGAGCAAUCCUGGUGGCGGGUGGCGAACGGGUGAGUAAUAUAUCGGAACGUGCCCAGUCGUGGGGAUAACGUAGCGAAAGCUACGCUAAUACCGCAUACGAUCUAUGGAUGAAAGCGGGGGAUCGCAAGACCUCGCGCGAUUGGAGCGGCCGAUAUCAGAUUAGGUAGUUGGUGAGGUAAAGGCUCACCAAGCCGACGAUCUGUAGCUGGUCUGAGAGGACGACCAGCCACACUGGGACUGAGACACGGCCCAGACUCCUACGGGAGGCAGCAGUGGGGAAUUUUGGACAAUGGACGCAAGUCUGAUCCAGCCAUUCCGCGUGCAGGAUGAAGGCCCUCGGGUUGUAAACUGCUUUUGUACGGACGAAAAGGUUUGUCUUAAUACGAUGG